rnacentral:rRNA from 1 species
UGGACGAAAGUCUGACGGAGCAACGCCGCGUGAGUGAUGAAGGUUUUCGGAUCGUAAAACUCUGUUGUCAGGGAAGAACAAGUACCGGAGUAACUGCCGGUACCUUGACGGUACCUGACCAGAAAGCCACGGCUAACUACGUGCCAGCAGCCGCGGUAAUACGUAGGUGGCAAGCGUUGUCCGGAAUUAUUGGGCGUAAAGCGCGCGCAGGCGGUUCCUUAAGUCUGAUGUGAAAGCCCCCGGCUCAACCGGGGAGGGUCAUUGGAAACUGGGGAACUUGAGUGCAGAAGAGAAGAGUGGAAUUCCACGUGUAGCGGUGAAAUGCGUAGAGAUGUGGAGGAACACCAGUGGCGAAGGCGACUCUUUGGUCUGUAACUGACGCUGAGGCGCGAAAGCGUGGGGAGCAAACAGGAUUAGAUACCCUGGUAGUCCACGCCGUAAACGAUGAGUGCUAAGUGUUAGAGGGUUUCCGCCCUUUAGUGCUGCAGCAAACGCAUUAAGCACUCCGCCUGGGGAGUACGGCCGCAAGGCUGAAACUCAAAGGAAUUGACGGGGGCCCGCACAAGCGGUGGAGCAUGUGGUUUAUUCGAAGCAACGCGAAGAACCUUACCAGGUCUUGACAUCUCCUGACAACCCUAGAGAUAGGGCGUUCCCCUUCGGGGGACAGGAU